GGAUUGUCCCUAUCUACUUCGCGUUCGACUGCGCUAGCGGACGGACGUGCUCGUGUGCGCUCUCGCGUUUAUAAAUUAAUAUCUUCGGAAAUUUCUGUGUUUUCUUCCCCAAUUAAUGCACGAACGGGAAAACAGUGGUGUGUGUGAGAAGUGAAGUGUAACGGUGCCGAAAAUCAGGUGUUUUCUGGGAGUUUUCCCUUACCACGUGGUGGCAAGCACGUGGUGGGCUCGCGGAGGGGUCUGUUGGGUGCAUUGUCGCGUCACCGGUGCCUGUGCAGCUGGAGGCCAGUGCUGGGCAGUAAAUAAAAAGAUCCGAGUCGGACGCGCGCGGACCGCGCCUUCUUACGCUCGCGGCGCGCAUACGAAAUUAAUACACGAACGGGAUACCGAUUUUAAUACACGAACAUAUCCGUCCGACGACGACUGCGGCGCCGCUGCGAGACUACACCACACGACACCCGCCAACACCGCGCAACAGCAGACGGCUCGCUGCAAACGUAAACGAAACUUGUAACGCAGUUAAAGAUCCGAGUCGGACGCGCGCGGACCGCGCCAUCUUACGCUCGCGGCGCGCAUACGAAAUUAAUACACGAACGGGAUACCGAUUUUAAUACACGAACAUAUCCGUCCGACGACGACUGCGGCGCCGCUGCGAGACUACACCACACGACACCCGCCAACACCGCGCAACAGCAGACGGCUCGCUGCAAACGUAAACGAAACUUGUAACGCAGUUAAAGGUAAAUAAAGUUAUAUAUAUAUAAAUGAAACGUUCACAACACCGCCGCCGCGGCUGCUGCUGCUGCUGCUGCUGCUGCCCGCACCGUUUCAACUUCGUCGUACUCGAACUACUACUUACUA